rnacentral:rRNA from 1 species
AGAGUGAACGUUGGCGGUAGGCCUAACACAUGCAAGUCGAACGGCAGCACAGGAGAGCUUGCUCUCUGGGUGGCGAGUGGCGGACGGGUGAGGAAUACAUCGGAAUCUACCUUUUCGUGGGGGAUAACGUAGGGAAACUUACGCUAAUACCGCAUAAGACCUUCGGGUGAAAGCCGGGGGACCUUCGGGCCUGGCGCGGAUAGAUGAGCCGAUGUCGGAUUAGCUUGUUGGCGGGGUAAAAGCCCACCAAGGCGACGAUCCGUAGCUGGUCUGAGAGGAUGAUCAGCCACACUGGAACUGAGACACGGGUCCAGACUCCGUACGGGGAGGCAGCAGGUGGGGGAAUAUUGGAACAAGUGGGG